CCUACGGGGGGCAGCAGUGGGGAAUAUUGGACAAUGGGGGGAACCCUGAUCCAGCCAUGCCGCGUGUGUGAAGAAGGCCCUCGGGUUGUAAAGCACUUUCAGUGAGGAAGAACGCCUGGUGGUUAAUACCCAUCAGGAAAGACAUCACUCACAGAAGAAGCACCGGCUAACUCCGUGCCAGCAGCCGCGGUAAUACGGAGGGUGCGAGCGUUAAUCGGAAUUACUGGGCGUAAAGCGCGCGUAGGUGGCUUGAUAAGCCGGUUGUGAAAGCCCCGGGCUCAACCUGGGAACGGCAUCCGGAACUGGCAAGCUAGAGUGCAGGAGAGGAAGGUAGAAUUCCCGGUGUAGCGGUGAAAUGCGUAGAGAUCGGGAGGAAUACCAGUGGCGAAGGCGGCCUUCUGGACUGACACUGACACUGAGGUGCGAAAGCGUGGGUAGCAAACAGGAUUAGAUACCCCGGUAGUC
rnacentral:rRNA from 1 species